UUAACCUCAGAUCAGGCAAGAUUACCCGCCGAA
rnacentral:rRNA from 1 species